AUAACUUCGGGAAACCGGAGCUAAUACCGGAUAAUAUAUUGAACCGCAUGGUUCAAUAGUGAAAGACGGUUUUGCUGUCACUUAUAGAUGGAUCCGCGCCGCAUUAGCUAGUUGGUAAGGUAACGGCUUACCAAGGCAACGAUGCGUAGCCGACCUGAGAGGGUGAUCGGCCACACUGAACUGAGACACGGUCCAGACUCCUACGGGAGGCAGCAGC
rnacentral:rRNA from 1 species